GGGAACGGGGCGGUGUCAGGUUGGGGGCACAAAGGAUUUGGUCUGAGACUGAGUUAGGACGGGGAGGAAGAGUGGAGAGACCCGGCUGGAGGAGGCUUCCUUCGGGUCCUCUUUCUGCCGGCCCCACCGCCCCUCACCUGCGUGCGAGGGGCGACCUCGAGGCGGUAGGGGGCGCCGCCACCUCGGGCCAGCACCACCUGCGGGGCCAGGACCUCCUUCUCCGCCUGUAACCGGUGCCCGGCGGCCGCGGUCCGGGCCUUGUCCAGCAGCACGAGGUGGCGCCCUCGCACCCAAAGCCCCGACCCCUCCUCCAGCAACGGCUCCCCUACGCCGCGUGCAUCGUCUCUCAGCAGCCUUCUGUGCACCUGCGGGGAGAGUGGCCAGGAGAGGGAUCUCCCGGCCAUUGCUGUCAGUGUAGAAGAGUCCGUCUGUCUCCAGCACAGUGUCAAAGCGACUGAUGACCUCCUUCCCCCAGCCAUCACUAUACCCAAUGGGAUGGCAAGGUGGUGAGCCUCACUUUAACUCCACUCUGCCCUUCACUCAGCCCCCACUCCCAGCCUCCACCACUCACCCCACAGGUAUUGGCCCCACCGUCCACUCCAGCUCCAGGUGCCGCUGUCCCGGGUACAGACGAACCACCUGGGAACACCAGGCUGAGAAGUUCUGGUGCACUUCCUGCACCAAGGCUGUCUGCAAGCACAUGGGGGUGAAGGGCAGGUGUAAGCGUGCAGCUGAGCAGAGGGGACAUGGGUUCAAGCCCUGGUCUGGGAAGAUCCCACAUGCCACAGAGCAACUAAGCCCGUGUGCCACAACUACUGAGCCUGUGUUCUAGAGCCCGCAAGCCACAACUACUGAGCCCGAGUGCCACAACUACUGAAGCCCACGCGCCUAGAGUCCAUGCUCCACAACAAGAGAAGCCGCCACAAUGAGAAGCCUGCGCGCCGUAAUGAAGAGUAGCCCCCGCUCUCCGCAACUAGAGAAAAAGCCCGCACGCAGCAAUGAAGACCCAAAGCAGCCAAAAAUUUUUAAAAAUUAAAAAAUAAAAAAUGAUAGAAGACUAGAUGA